UUACGGGGAAAAAAAAACGAUGAGGUACUUGCAUCGUUUGAUGGUGUCCAAACCCUAUAAAUAUGCACUCAUGAGUGUGCAGCUAAAUAUACCAAACCACCCUUUCAGCUAGGUAAUUCUGCUGCCCACAAUGGCAUUAAUCUCUUCCCCAAGGGCUGCUGUGGCCAUCCUCAUUCUCUUCGCCAUUUUUCUCACUCCAAAGCUGAUGUUACCAUGCGAGGCAACAAGACCAACCCGAGAACUUCUGGUGCGACCCCCAAUCUGUCCUCGCUGUGUUUGUUGCGCACCACCACCCUCUCCAGGCAGAUGCUGCCCCUGUGUCUGUUCCCCGCCUUGGGGCCCUAUUGCACCUGUUGCUGAACCAAAUUCACCAUGACUUCUUGAGGGCAUAAGUUUGUUAAAUUUGCUACACGUGUAGGAUUGUACGUGCUUUCUAACUUGUGAAUGUAUGAAUAUGAACUUCUUAUUAUUGAGAUUAUGUUAAAGUGAUGUAUGUGCUUUACAAAUGAAUAAGUGGGUUUCGUUGUCA